GACGAACGCUGGCGGCGUGCUUAACACAUGCAAGUCGAACGGAAAGGCCCUGCUUUUGUGGGGUGCUCGAGUGGCGAACGGGUGAGUAACACGUGAGUAACCUGCCCUUGACUUUGGGAUAACUUCAGGAAACUGGGGCUAAUACCGGAUAGGAGCUCCUGCUGCAUGGUGGGGGUUGGAAAGUUUCGGCGGUUGGGGAUGGACUCGCGGCUUAUCAGCUUGUUGGUGGGGUAGUGGCUUACCAAGGCUUUGACGGGUAGCCGGCCUGAGAGGGUGACCCGCCACAUUGGGACUGAGAUACGGCCCAGACUCCUACGGGAGGCAGCAGUGGGGAAUAUUGCACAAUGGGCGGAAGCCUGAUGCAGCAACGCCGCGUGCGGGAUGACGGCCUUCGGGUUGUAAACCGCUUUCGCCUGUGACGAGGCGUGAGUGACGGUAAUGGGUAAAGAAGCACCGGCUAACUACGUG
rnacentral:rRNA from 1 species